rnacentral:sRNA from 1 species
UCUUGGUCAUUUAGAGGAAGUAAAAGUCGUAACAAGGUUUCCGUAGGUGAACCUGCGGAAGGAUCAUUAUCGUAACAACCCAGAGGGAGGAGGGCUGUCUGCUGACCCUUCAAAGGGUCGUGCACGCCCUCGAGUGUCCUCGCACAAUCCACCUCACCUUUGUGCAUCACCCUCAAAUAAAAAGGGGGGCUUGCGUCUUUUCAUAACACACGUAGUAUUAGAAUGUUUUUACAUUCCCUUUGCGAUCUGCACGCAAUCAAUACAACUUUCAACAACGGAUCUCUUGGCUCUCGCAUCGAUGAAGAACGCAGCGAAAUGCGAUACGUAAUGUGAAUUGCAGAAUUCAGUGAAUCAUCGAAUCUUUGAACGCAUCUUGCGCCCCUUGGCAUUCCGAGGGGCACACCCGUUUGAGUGUCGUGAAAUCCUCAACCUUUUCUUUUUUUGGAUCAAAGGAAAGGCUUGGACUUUGGAGGCUUUUGCUGGCACCCUUUUGCUNUGGAGCCAGCUCCUCUUAAAGGAAUUAGUGGGAUCCCCUUUUGCCGAUCCUCGACGUGAUAAGCUCUUUCUUUGACGUCGCAUUGGGAGAGGCAGAAGAGACCCACUUUCGAUUUUGAAUGACCGUCAUCCCUUUUGACCUCAAAUCGGGUGAGACUACCCGCUGAACUUAAGCAUAUCAAUAAGCGGAGGAAAAGAAACUAACAAGGAUUCCCCUAGUAACUGCGAGUGAAGCGGGAAAAGCUCAAAUUUAAAAUCUGGGGUCUUUGGCCGUCCGAGUUGUAAUUAGAGAAGCGUCUUCCGCGCUGGACGUGA